AUGAAUUUAAAAAUUAAAGAAUUAAAUAAUUAAAUUAAAUUUAAAUAUAAACAGUCAAAUUCAAAAAUAUUUUUUCAGCCAAUGGUGUUUUGCCCUCAUCCUGUUGGUGCGGUGCUGUUGGUUUUUAAUACUUUGAGUUUUUGCUGGAUCGUGAUGUUUCAUUGGUGAAGGGUCUCUUACUGCAGUCUGUUGGUAAUACUAGGCUAAGGAUCUUCAUUAGAGACAACAGAAGGUCUUGCAUGUACUAAUGUCGGCAACUCAAAGUUGCCGCCACUAUAUCCGAUGAUCCGUGUAUCUUAAGGCGAAGUUGCUGUGAACUUUGCUGCGUCAACUCCUAGAGCUGUGCAAUUUUGGUAUUUCUAGUUUGAAAUUUUGGCCUGCUUGGUUUAUUUGCACCUUUGUCUUUGAUUUUGUUUGCGAAUUUCUUUGCAGAUUGCCUUUCUUUGAAUCUGCUAGUUGUGUAUGGAGACUUUAUUGAUGGUGAAGCAGAGUUUUAUACUUAUGACUGUUUUUUGUUUUUUCGUUUUACGAUUUCUUAAGUUGAUAGUGAUUUGAUUUGUUGGAUUUUAGUUUGAAUUUUAUAAGUUGUUUUUUGAGGAGGGUUUGGUUUACAUAUCUAGAUU
rnacentral:lncRNA from 1 species